CAGAAGGACGGGUACCUUGAACUUGGAAGGAAACCUUCAUUUCACUACUACUACGAUCCUCAGAAAUGCUGCUCUUGUGAAGAGCCAAAGCUGCCAGUGUGGAAAGUAAGUCCUUAAGGGACCAAGCCAUUUGAAUUACAUUGUCUUUUGGACCGACGCAUGGCAAGAGCAUCUGCUUUCCUGUCUUGACUGGAGGCUCAUGCACCUUAUGUUACUAUUUGUGUUUAUGUGGAGUUUUGCUGAAGUGCAGUCUUUGGUUUCCACUAUGAGCGCUCCCAGAGCAUCCUGUCCACAUGACGGGAAAGCGCCCAAUUGCGAAUUGGGAGCCAACAGUGACUACAAUUCCCAGCUUAAUGAGAUGAAAUAUCUCAUAAACACAUAAAAAUGAAGUCACUUUCCUUGAGACUUUAACGCAUUGCCUUUAUUACGAAGAAUAACAGCGUGUGAAGUCUAAGUUUGUAAGUUAUUGUAGCUCUGGAGGUUACAGCUGGCUUCUUAAUCCAGCCAACCAAUGACACCCACUCAGUAAAGGUAACAAUGUGCAGCAAGACAGAGCGGAUACUGAGAUGUGGGAUGCAGACCAUCUGCUGGUACCGACUUGGUGCGCUGGCCUGGAUAUAUGAUGACACUGGGAGACAACCACCUUCUAAGCUAUUGAUGCUUGUUGAAUAGAGAUGCCUGAGCUGACAGACACUUACUGAAUGCGACAGAAUUCGGGGACCCCUGGGGCUACUGUUUAAAUUGUAGAUUGGAGAGAGGGGCAUAGAAAGAAUAGAAAGACAGAGUUUUCCUUCUGGAUGAGUUUAGCCAUCUUGCUGAAUAGGUGCAGGUGGAAUAAAGAGAAGAAACCCAAAAGACCUCAAAAUGGAAGUUACGAAGGGCUUAACUGAAAUCUGGGAAGUUGUAGUAGUACAAGAAUAUCAUCGCACACAAAUCAUCACUGAACAGAACUGCCGUCAAAAUCUGCUUUGAAGUUCUCUACUGCCCCUUUCUCUUCUUGCAUUGCCCUAUUCCACUCACCAGACAAAAGAUCUCUUAAGAAACAUGGCAAGUUGUUCAUCAUGGCCAUCAAAAUGGCUCAAUUUGUUGGGUCCUUGCUGUGUGCCGGGUUCUGAGCAAGGUGUUUUAUGAUUCUCUCACUCAUGUGAAUUUUCAGAAGUAUAUGAAGUAGGGUCUACUAUUUCCUCUGUUUCACAUAUGGGAAAAUUGAAACACAGACAGUUUAAGUAUUUCACCCAGGGUCACAGAGCCAGUAACUUGGCGUGCUAGAGACUCAGUGUUACCCUAACAGAAGAGGUUGUGUUUUCAACGAAGAUCAGGUACAGAAGCUAAUCUUUUACCUAAGAGAAUAACUCAUGAAAGGUGGGAUUUUAGUACAAAGAUGGACUUUGUGACAGUAGAGUAGCUUCCUUUGCUCCCUUCAAAUCACAGAGCCUCAGAGGACCUGUGGUUUCCACGUAUUAUUAGGAAACAUCAUCGAUAUUACCCUGAGACACGGGUGAAGCAGAAUUUUCUGAAUACAUUUUGUAAAAUAUGUUUUGAAACUGUAAAUGCAAA